CUCCGGGUGGUCUAGUUGGUUUAUGGCGUCGGACUGUAAAUCCGAAUGUCGCGUGUUCGAUUCACGCCCUGGAGA
rnacentral:tRNA from 3 species